rnacentral:piRNA from 1 species
GACACUUGCUAUUCAAAAGACUCUAGGCUG